AGAGCGAACGCUGGCGGCAUGCUUAACACAUGCAAGUCGCACGAACGGUUUCGGCUGUUAGUGGCGGACGGGUGAGUAUCGCGUAGGGAUUUAUCGUUGGGUGGGGGAUAACCUAGGGAAACCUGGGCUAAUACCGCAUAAUACCUUCGGGUCAAAGGAGCAAUUCGCUUAAGGAGGGGGUCGCGGCCGAUUAGUUAGUUGGCGGGGUAAUGGCCCACCAAGACUGUGAUCGGUAUCC
rnacentral:rRNA from 1 species